rnacentral:rRNA from 1 species
GAUGAACGCUGGCGGCGUGCCUAAUACAUGCAAGUCGAGCGAAGCGGGGACAGGUGAGUAACACGUGGAUAACCUCCUAUAAGACUGGGAUCACUUGUGGGAACCGGAGCUAAACCCGGUACUGAGAAAUCGAUCCGCGCUGCAUUAGCUAGUUGGUAAGGUAACGGCUUACCAAGGCAACGAUGCAUAGCCGACCUGAGCGGGUGAUCGGCCACACUGGAACUGAGACACGGUCCAAACUCCUACGGGAGGCAGCAGUAGGGAAUCUUCCGCAAUGGGCGAAAGCCUGACGGAGCAACGCCGCGUGAGUGAAGAAGGUCUUCGGAUCGUAAAACUCUGUUAUUAGGGAAGCGGUAUCCAACCAGAAAGUCACGGCUAACUACGUGCCAGCAGCCGCGGUAAUAC